rnacentral:lncRNA from 1 species
CCUGGAGGUAUCUGAGAUGUCUGCCAUGUGCUGAAGUGGAAAAUCUUAGCUAUGGAUGUGGACCUGAGAAGAAAAAGUGGGACAGGAACCUAAAUAUGUACAUGGGAAGAUCAAAGACAGAAGACACAAAAUACAAAAAAGCCUCUUCGAAUUUCUGCAUUCGACAAUUGUGGCCAAAGUUCUAGAGUCUGAGGAUAACAGGUCAAAGACCAGUCCCCCAGGAUUCCAAUAACCACGAGUCGUACGGUUGCUGAUGGACUACGCCUCGCAAGCGUACAGAGGCAGUGUCGGUGUUCCACGCCUCACUGGCUGCAAAGAGCAAAAAGUCUGCCGCCAGGAUCAGAAUCUUGACUAGUCCGUACAGAUCAUAUCCAGUAUGCAGCCUUGCUUGCCCGUGUUCCCUCGAGGGAUUUUGAGGAAUAUGACAACAGCUACACUACUUAGUAACUUUCGUUAGUACGUAAGAUACCAACCCUACGAUCCAUGGUUGCAGCGAGAUUUGGGCGACUGUCAAAGACAGAUCCUGAAUAAAAGAACGACGCCAAUGCGGGGUCUCGCUAAGUAAAGACAUAGUCUCUCUUUGGGGUCCAUCAGUCAAUUCCAAGCACUGUGAGUCGCUGAGUUGUUCAGCUUCCUACUUAUGUGUCGGUCCGUGUGUUUGUUGUGUGGAGAAGCGCUAGACACGGAGCAAGCCAGCAAGGUACGCCUGAAUCCAGUGAAUCCACAGCUGAUCUGACAUCAUGUGUUCCGAGUUUCUUUCUUUCUCGUGGCUCUCGCGCUGUUCUGCCGAUCUGGUUUUCCUAUAUGAGUAGAAUCAUAGAAUGAAGGUAAGAGGGAGGAGGGAUUCAGGAAUAGAAGGGAAGAGGCCGAGUCAUGUGAGGGAAUGACAAGAGCGGUUAGAAAUCGCGAGUUACCUCAUCCCAUAGUUAUGGUGCCGGUAUGCAACAUGCAGUGUGCUAUCUCAGUAUUAGCGAUGAUUUAACGAAUUCCUUCGGCAAUUUUGAACUUGAAAACGCAAAAGCUCAUACGCCUCAAAUAGUCCCAUUGGUAGGUAUCAUCCGUUUAUCAUCCGAAAAAAAAAAAAAAAAAAAGAACAGUAGUAUAUCCCGAAACGCCU